CUGCCUCUCUCUUCCUCCCGCCCCUCACGCCACCACCCUACCUCCUGUUCAUGCUCAGUUGCUAUCAUAGGAGCUCCUGUGAUGCUCUGGCUUACAUGUGGAUGCCCUGGUCGUAUAGCUAUGCUCCUGGAUUUGCUAGAUCGAUUAGUGGCGUUCGUGCUAGGGCGAUGCUGAUUAACCGUGGCUGAAAUAGGUGUGCCUUUAAGCAAUCGAGGCACCUGUGGGUAUCAAGUUGGAUCCUCCCUCUUGUCUCUAGACUCCUUUUUGAUCCUGUGAUACCUAUUGAUCUGUCCUUGGAUGGUCAUUCUUGUUGAGUGAUAACCAGGGCGGCUCCAUUGUAUAAACAGAUUAGUGUGGUGAUAAGAGAUGAGGCGGGUAGGUUAUAUGAUCGAGGAAAGCUGAAUCUGAGCCCACUAUGCAAUGAACCCUGAACCCUUUUUAUUUGUAUUUAAAGGUGUUGCUUAUUUAUGCUCCAGUGUUUAUAGCCGUCUUAUGUAAGGAUUUCUUCUCUCUCAUACCUUUAUUGCAUAUGAGUUGUUCUUGAUCUUUUAUUGUUUGUUGGGGGCUUUCUUGUUUUGUUGGGGGCUUUCUUGUUUUGUUGGUGCCUUACCGCCAAGCAGAUCCUUGGAUUUAGCUAGGUUAUCUGUUUCAUUGCUUGGUUUUUUGCCUGUUAAAGAGAAGCUUAGGUCUAUAUGGAUUCCUGAGGUAAUAUCCAUUGUUUCUCAUAGUUUAGUUACAACUGAUUUCCGAGUUCUAACUCCUUCAUGUUAUUUCAUUAUUUCUCCUCUUUGUACCGCUAUUUAUUUCAAAUUCUGAAAUAAGGACGGCCUUGGUGGCUGUAUUUACUUGCGCUUUGUUUAUAUAUGAUUGGUAUUAGAUUCUUUGAGAAAAUUUGUUGUUACAUUAGUGGUCUAGCUAGAUUGCAAGAAAGGGGCUGUAUCUUCCCUUUCGGUGCUCAGCGGGAGGAGUGCGCUCGCCGCCGGCCCUGACGAGAGGUGUCGCCGCCCUGGUCAGAUUUGGCCGCCUCCACCACCACCCACUUACAGGAGGCCCCUGCCACUCCUCCUCCAUCGCAUGGUCAUCACUGGGAGGAGCAGCAGCUCUGCCUAGAGGCAUCGCCAUCGGCUAGAGGGCGUCGGACUCUCGUCCUUGCAUUCAUGCACCUCCGGGAAGAAGACCCGAGGUAAGCAGCCUCCAAUUUGCCGUGCGAAUUGAGCAGGGUUGGAUCCAAGAGGCAGAGAUGCAGUCCUCCAGAGCUGUUGGGAAGAAGAAGAAGAAGAAGAAGAAGAAGAAGAAGAAGAAGAAGAAGAAGAAGAAGAAUUGCAAAGGAUGGCGAGAUUGAGCGUCUGAAGUAAAGCUCAGACCUGCACAUGUCCAAGUGUCAGUCGCUUGAAUUGAUUAGGCAGAGGGACAUAGAUAUAAGAGAGAAGGAUGGUGUCAUUCAGAGCUACCAUUAUAAGACAGAUGGGGAGCUGAUGAACCCAGGGUCCUGACAGAUAUACAUCAUCUUCCCAACGGACAACACCUUCCUCGAGGAGGACGACUCCAACUACUUCAGCUAUCUCGGCUGUCUUGGCCUUUUAUGAAAGAUGAAUCAAUGAUUUAUGUCAGCACAAGCUACCGGCAGCUUCCUCGCGUGCAAUGCUAUUUGAAGACCAUUCAAGUGAUUUAAAAGAGAAGAUGUCCAGAAUGUCUAAGAAGAUUGAAGAUGAUGAUCAAAA